GUGGUACUCAAACGAUGGCAGCACUUUUGUUCUGGAAUAAAGUGCCGCCAGGUUUUGAGUGUUAC
rfam:Cricetulus griseus cell line CHO-K1, whole genome shotgun sequence.